CACAUGCACAAUGCUCGUAGCUGCUUGAACCAACGCAACGCAACUAUAUUACAUUCAGGUUAUUUCACCAAGAAAAGCUCUGAAGGACUUUCACUAACCAGGACUUAGUAAAGCCAGUUAUGGCUCUCAGACGAGGCUACAGUUCAAGGGCCGAACCCGAUCCUUCCCUAUAUUCCUCGGCUGGACCAGAGCAGCCUGAGGACCACUCCAACGACAUUGAUGAUUCUGAAGAACUUCACAGCAGCACCCCGGAAACCCAACCCAGUACGCCAAUCUUGACCAGCUUUUGCACCACCAAUGGUUCUGCCUCAGGUGAGGACUGCGUCCAUGGCGAGAGUCCUAUUCAACCUGAUAACAUGGAGGAAGACUUACUGUCUGAAUAUGAUAACGUGGGAUCAGAAAGGGAGCAAGAGCAGGACUACGAGGAAGAUGAGGAGCUGCGGACAGAAGCAGAUGGGAUGACUUACUAUGUUCAUUGUUGCCCUGAGGACGAGAGCUACAUGGAUGGAAUGGAUUGUCAUGAGGGUGCUGAUAGCAGUGACAAACCAAGCACUUCCAAAGAUCCAGAUGCUGGAGUAAAGCCAAUAGAUGCCUGGAAAUACCCUGAAGGGUUUUGUGAAGGCGCAGAGCAAAAGGAUUUCAAACGUCCUAAACCAAUCAGUGAAGCUACCUUUAUUCAAGCUCCAAUGGCUGAGAAUGAGGAAGAUGAAGAAGAAGAGGAGGUGGAAGAUGAUGAUGAUGAGGAUGCUGUGGAGGAGAAGGAAAAGUGUUUUGUUUAUGACCAAGAGAAGGCUGGGCAUUGUAAUUUACUGCAGGACAGUAGAAAUCCUCCUCAGGGACUAAAUUACAGUCCAAGAAAGAGUAAAGAAGAUGAUUUAUGUAAUAAUUUUAGAGUGAACAAAAGUAUCUCAGAAAGGUGUAGGGGAAAUACACAGAAGUCUUUUAGUGGCUUUACGGAGGUUAAAAAACAGGUCAAUGCAAUAAAAAAAGUUGACAGUCCAGGAGAUUGUAAAGUUGUCAAGGCAGAUAAAAACCCAAGACAAGUGUUAGAAUGCAUUUAUAAGGACAGCAGUGACUGCAAAAAUUGCAAAGGUAGUGAACAUAAUGAAGCAUCCAAACGUGAUCUUGUGAGUAGACCAGAUUUAAAAAAAAGACACUUAUACAGACAACAUGCUGAGAAAGCAGGAGAAAACAGGCCGUUACAUGUGGAUAAUGAAAGCCCUAAACACAGUACAAAGAAGGGACAGGAGCGUUCUCAGAGUAAUUACAGACCAAAGUCCAGGAGAGACAGGCAACCACCAAUGGACAAAAAUAAGAAUGUUGAUCAGAUCAAAAAUGAAGUUAGGAUGAAAUUAAAAGUAGAACCUCAGAGCACCAGAUCAAACAAGGGUGUAGUUGAGCAGUCAUGUGAUGAGAAACAAAUUUUAGAAAGUUCUCAAGCUUCAUCAGUUCCAUCACAGAGAGAAGAAUGCAAACCCAAAGCAACCGACACACCAAGGAAACCCCCAGACUCACGGGUGCAAAAAGACAUGGUUAAAUCAUCCAAAGAAGAGGAAUUGAGGUCCAGUCAGGACCAGAUAACUCAGAACAGCCAACAGAACUGCACAGGAAACUUGCAAUGUGAUACUUCCACAGCAGCAAGCAACCAUAACCCUCCUCAGCAGGUAAAAAGAAGUCCCUCUUUUCCAAGUUUUGUGGACGUACCAGGUCCGUGUGAACCUGAGGACCUCAUUGAUGGGAUCAUCUUUGCAGCUAACUACCUCGGCUCCACCCAGCUCCUGUCAGACCGAAACCCAUCUAAGAAUAUGCGCAUGAUGCAAGCUCAGGAAGCUGUAGACAGAGUUAAGUGUCUGGACGAAGAGAACCAGACCCUGGUCGAGGUUGAUCUCUUUAUUUCAACCAAAGCAAUCAAAGUGCUUAAUGCUGACACACAGGAAACGAUGAUAGACAACGCUCUUCGGACUAUCUCCUACAUUGCAGACAUUGGAAGUGUGGUGGUCCUGAUGGCUCGCAGACGAGUGGCACAGUCUGCCAUGCUGGACUGUAACAACCCCAACUCAGAGGGCAGGAAACAGUACAGAAUGAUCUGUUACGUUUUUGAGUCUGAGGAUGCUCAGCUCAUUGCACAGUCCAUUGGUCAGGCAUUUAGCAUGGCCUACCAGGAAUUUUUGCGAGCAAAUGGGAUCAACCCUAAGGACCUCAGCCAGAAAGACUACAGCGAUGUUCUUAAUUCACAAGAGAUGUACAACGAUGACCUCAUCCACUUCUCAAACUCAGAAAACUGCAAAGAGCUGCACCUAGAAAAACAGAAAGGGGAGAUUCUGGGUGUGGUGAUAGUGGAGUCUGGCUGGGGUUCUAUCCUACCCACAGUCAUCUUAGCCUGUAUGCUGAAUAGUGGGCCAGCUGCCCGGUCGGGAAAGCUAAACGUGGGCGACCAGAUCAUGGCUGUUAAUGACACAAGUUUGGUGGGCUUGCCCCUUGCUACCUGCCAAGGCAUCAUCAAGGGCUUAAAGAAUCAGUUGCAUAUAAAGCUAAGUGUCGUAAGCUGCCCUCCUGUUACCACUGUGUUAAUAAAGAGACCGGAGCUGCAAUACCCUCUGGGCUUCAGUGUACAAAAUGGCAUAAUCUGUAGCCUGAUGCGAGGUGGAAUAGCAGAACGGGGAGGAGUUCGUGUGGGCCAUAGAAUAAUUGAGAUUAAUGGACAAAGUGUCGUUGCAAUGGCUCAUGAGAAAAUCGUCCAUGCCUUAUCAGUGUCUGUUGGAGAGAUUCACAUGAAAACCAUGCCUGCUGUGAUGUACAGACUGCUAACUGGACAGGAGAUGCCAGUAUACAUUUAAUUACAAGGCUGGUGUUCUGGAAGCUCAGUGAUGCUCUGUUCUGACUGCAACCUACUUCACCUACCUAGAAAAGGAAGCCAAGGAAAAAAAGAUAAAGGCAGCUGUAGCAGCCAUC